AUGCUGGUCCCGGCUCCGUAUCAGGCGCCGAAAAAGAAGGCCAAGAAGAAGAGUAAGGAGGCCAAGGGUGGCCUCCGCCGUAAAGGCGCUUCGGACGUAGUGUCUGAAGACACCGAAACUCUCUCCUCUCAUGACAAAGAUGAAGAGGAGGAAGAGAGCAAUUCCCCCUUUAAGGGGGAAAAGAAGAAGAGGGCAGCUUCCGUGGAUCUAGAUGCGGAAGCGUCCAAGAAAGGGAAAACCUCCCUUACGGAUGAUUCCGAUACGGACGCCGACGACAUCCACGGGUGGCGCCCCAGGCCAGAUCGUAAGUAUUCAAAGGUACCGUAUAUAUAUCCGGCUUUUCGCCUUGUGGUUGUGACACGUUGA
rnacentral:rRNA from 1 species